GUGAGGGAAGCUUGCUUCCCUUGACGACGACUGGCGCACGGGUGAGUAACGCGUAUCCAACCUUCCCAUGACCACGGGAUAACCCGUUGAGAGACGGACUAAUACCGUAUGACGUCGUUUGCUGACAUCAAAUAACGAUUAAAGGUUUAGCGGUGAUGGAUGGGGAUGCGUCUGAUUAGCUUGUUGGCGGGGUAACGGCCCACCAAGGCGACGAUCAGUAGGGGUUCUGAGAGGAAGGUCCCCCACAUUGGAACUGAGACACGGUCCAAACUCCUACGGGAGGCAGCAGUGAGGAAUAUUGGUCAAUGGGCGAGAGCCUGAACCAGCCAAGUAGCGUGCAGGAUGACGGCCCUAUGGGUUGUAAACUGCUUUUAUGUGGGGAUAAAGUGCGUGACGUGUCAUGCAUUGCAGGUACCGCAUGAAUAAGGACCGGCUAAUUCCGUGCCAGCAGCCGCGGUAAUACGGAAGGUCCGGGCGUUAUCCGGAUUUAUUGGGUUUAAAGGGAGCGUAGGCCGCCAGAUAAGCGUGUUGUGAAAUGUACCGGCUCAACCGGUGAAUUGCAGCGCGAACUGUUUGGCUUGAGUGCACGGUAAGCAGGCGGAACUCAUGGUGUAGCG
rnacentral:rRNA from 1 species